rfam:Oryza rufipogon genomic scaffold, chr04
AUUAAGUGCAGCCAUGAGUUUCCGCGUCCAACUUUAAUCGUCCGUCUUAUUUAAAAUUUUUUUAUAAUUAGUAUUUUUGUUGUUAUAAGAUGAUAAAACAUGAAUAGUACUUUACUCGUGACUAACUUUUUUAAUUUUUUUAAUUUUUUUUAAAUAAGACGAAUGAUUAAAGUUGGACACGAAAAACUAUGGCUAUAGUUAUU